rnacentral:rRNA from 1 species
UACGUAGGCAGCGAGCGUUGUUCGGAAUUACUGGGCGUAAAGAGUGUGUAGGCGGUGCUCUAAGUUCGGUGUGAAAUCUCCCGGCUUAAACUGGGAGGGUGCGCCGGAAACUGGAGUGCUCGAGUGCGGGAGAGGAGAGUGGAAUUCCGUGGGUGUAGCGGUGAAAUGCGUAGAUAUCAGGAGGAACACCGGUGGUGUAGACGGCUCUCUGGACCGUAACUGACGCUGAGACACGAAAGCGUGGGUAGCAAACAGG